AUGAGGAAACUUCCUCCACCCACGUGUAUCAAUAGCUUGUCUGAAAUUUCGAGUUUCCUAGAACACUGAGAAGUGAUUCUGUUGGGGAUGACAAGCUAGCGCACGUUAGAGGCGGGAUUUAAAUCCACCUUUUCAGGCUGCAAAGCCAGCAGAGCUCUUCACGGGUUGCAGGAUGAGAAAAAAGGAAGGGUGAAAUUUCCAGCUCAAAAAUGGGAGGUGCCCUGAAUUCUCAGAAGGGGUGGGACAAAGGCUGCCUCAGGGCCUCUAAUGUGGCAAAACUAAAAAACCCCCUCUCAUAUGUGGCUGAAGUUUUAAAACAGCUGUCUCUCAGCCAAAGGAAGGCACACUGGAACCAAGAGCGCCUCCUAGUCCCUCUUACACCUUGCUUUUUCCAAGCCGUCUUUUGCUGUUCGCCAGACUGAGAGGCCAGUGUCCAGCUACCUUUCGUGGAGAUCCAGCCCUUCUCUCUGACUAGGGACGCUGCUGGUAGCCGCCAGAAAAUCGAAGAGCGAAAAGCAGGCUGGAGACCCGUGGAACAGGACACUUCUCAGCUCAGAGUCAACCAAAGUUGAAGGAAACUUGAGUACGUUUAAAGGCAAUAGUUAAGGAACCAUUUGGUAAGGAGAGGAUGAAGAUUAACAAGAUGAUAACAAGGGUGACUGCAUGAGAUGCUUCUAUCAAAGACAAGAAUCUCUGAAUAACAUGAAAUGGGGGAAUUUAUAAGAAAUGGAAACAUAUUGGUUAUGAACAACGAAGUUCAGGGACAAGUGACUAUAUGGUCUUUGAGAAACAGCAGCAGCAGGAAAGAAGAAAAAGUCUGGCAGUUAAUUGGAUAAGAGGGCAAGACUAUAUACUGUCCUUAUUGAUGCUGCUUUGAAGUUGAAAGUGCUUACCUUCUGAAGAACAUGGAUUCUAUUUUUACUAUAAUGAUUAUUGCUAUUCCUUCUGUAUUUGUUUUUUGUUUUUUAUUGUGUUGUUUUUUAUGCCCUAAGACUCAAGGAAACACUCAUCAAAAGCGCAAUUCAUCAAGAAUUAGUGGUUUCCAGGGAGGAGGUGAUUCCUGGGGAGGUGAUGUUUAUGAAGGAGGCCAGUCUUGGGAAGCAGAUGAUGCUUUUGGAGGAGAUGAUUCCUGGGGAGGAGGUGAUGCUUGUAAAGGAGAUGAUGCUUUUGCAAUAGAAGCAAUGCUUGUGGAGGAGGUGAUUCCUUUGGAGGAGGUGAUGUUUGUGGAGGAGUUGAUUCUUGGGGAGGAGGUGAUACUUGUGGAGGAGAUUAUUAGUGAAUAAAAGGGAUCCAGGAAGAAGGAGAUAAUUAUUGUGGUUGACUGACUUGUUAACCUCCGUCCACUAGUGGCAUUCACUAUUACCUGAUCACCUUAGGUCCUUGUUUUCCUCUGGAGUGAGUAUCUAGUACUAAGUCAAAAAAUUCCAUGCGAGCAGGAGAAAUUAAUUUUUACAAAAAGAUGGGAGGUUUUGCCCAAGUCAGAAUAAAACAGAAGCUCUUAAACUACGGCAGGUUACAUGUAAACAAAUUGUAAGUCAAAAAGAAUUGGAGGAAACUUUGAAUGGGACCAAGAUGUCAAUAAUUAAUAUAUUCUUUAAGCAAAGCACAGAUAGCAAGCUCUACCUUUAUGAAACAACAACAAAUAAAAAGAUUCACACAUCUGGAACACAAUGAAUUAUUUGCCUCAGUUUUUCUGAGGUGAUAUUGGGGAGAUACUGAAUUUACUUUUACAUUGACUUUCUACUUCUCUAUCCAACACUGCAUUAAGUGCUGAAUCUACAAAUCUCUUUCCCAAAAUAUUUUCUGAAGGAGAGGUCAAAGGGCCUCCAACAGAUUGUGAAAAACACAUGAUAUUCUAGACCUAGUUGGCAAAGUAGGUGUAAAGAGAGCCUCAGAAUCACCAAAUAUCUACCCAAGAUUUUUGAAGGACUUUGAAGAUUUUUUUCCUCUGGGAAAUAUAAUGGUAAAUGACAAUCAUGCUAGUUUCAUAAAGAAAAAAAUAGUUUCUGAAUGAAUCCUGGUAACUACAAACUUCAUGUAGGUUCAACUAAUAGAGCUGAUCUUAGGGAGAGCUAUGUGAGAUCCCUUACUUCUUUCAAAACACAGUUCAGGUGUCACCUCCUCCAUGAAGUCUUUCUGAUUUUUCCAACUGAGUGAAAUCUGUUCCUGCUUAAAUUGUAUUAGAACAAUUAGUAGAGACUCUCUUUUGCCCUUGUUUUAUGCACACUUGUAUUAUGUACAAUUCUACCUUGUGUUAUGCUUAUUUAAAUCCCUGUGUCAGUGUUAAACAAUGAAUUUUUUAACAUAAUGAAGCACAUUUAUUCGCGUUGAUCUUACAACUAUUAACAUUUUAGUGAGAACAAAAAUGUUUAGUACCACUAAUAAAUAUAAUAAAGUCCAAUAAUUUUUCAAUAUUUUUCA